CUGUAGUCGGUCCCAAGGGUUGGGCUGUUCGCCCAUUAAAGCGGUACGCGAGCUGGGUUCAGAACGUCGUGAGACAGUUCGGUCCCUAUCCGUCGCGGGCGUUGGAAAUUUGAGAGGAGCUGUUCUUAGUACGAGAGGACCGGGAUGGACACACCGCUGGUGUACCAGUUGUUCUGCCAAGAGCAUCGCUGGGUAGCUAUGUGUGGACGGGAUAAACGCUGAAAGCAUCUAAGCGUGAAGCCCCCCUCAAGAUGAGAUUUCCCAUCACUAAAAGUGAGUAAGACCCCUGAGAGACGAUCAGGUAGAUAGGCUAGAAGUGGAAGUACAGCGAUGUAUGGAGCGGACUAGUACUAAUCGGUCGAGGACUUAACCAA
rnacentral:rRNA from 1 species